AAUUGAAGGCCAAAAAGAAAGAAAGAAAGAAAGAAAGGAAGGAAAAAGGAAAGGCCACGAUCCUCUCAACACUCUGUGUGUCUUUUUUGUCUAGUCGAGUCGCGGAUCGAAAUCUUUUUCUCCCUCCUGCCUUUUUGUAACGGAGUCGUUGCAUCAUAGAGAGAGACACGAAGACUCUUGGAAAGGACAGAAAGCCGCAUGCAAAAAAAAGAGGAGGCAAA
rnacentral:RNase_P_RNA from 11 species